UCUUCCUCCCGUCUCUUCCUCUUUCUUCUCUUCGGUCGAACAGAGAGGAGGAGGAGAGGGGGCGCCCAGGCUCCAGUGGUGGGGAGGCGGUGACACCGGCGUCAAACCGCGUUCCCGAGCGAUGCACUCCCGAGGAGGGUGGUGGCAGGUGGAGGAAGUGAGGGAGGGUGGUGGCAGGUGGAGGAAGUGAGGGAGAUGGCCGGAACGGCGGCGGCAAGGGCUCACCUUGAGCCGGCAUGGAUGAUGGCGGUGGUGACUUGACUUAGAGGUGGAGGGAGAGGGGAAAGGGGGAAAAACGGACUCGACGGAUGGAGGCGAUGCCGGUGGUG
rnacentral:lncRNA from 1 species